UGUCCUUCUGUGAGUUUUUGAUUCACCUGUGGACAAAACUGACAUACAGGUGCAAAAAACAAGUCGUUUUUUACAACCCAAAACUCAUCAACCAGUGUGAGCUUUGAUAUAUGCAAGAAGGAAUAGG
ensembl:snoRNA